UUAGUUUACAGCAUUGGCAUAGUGUUUUCAUUUCUGAUUUCACUUCUAUAUGCAAUAUACAUUUUUCAUUUAAAAUUAAAUUUGUGGCCAUUAAGUUUACUUUAUUAAUAAUAAAAGUAUAUGACAUAAACAUAACCUAAACAAAAUACGAAAGCAUUCUCAGUUGAACAAUAAAAUAUUGGAUAAAAAUGAA
rnacentral:lncRNA from 1 species